AUUGAACGCUGGCGGCAGGCUUAACACAUGCAAGUCGAGCGGAGAUGAGGUGCUUGCACCUUAUCUUAGCGGCGGACGGGUGAGUAAUGCUUAGGAAUCUGCCUAUUAGUGGGGGACAACAUUCCGAAAGGAAUGCUAAUACCGCAUACGUCCUACGGGAGAAAGCAGGGGAUCUUCGGACCUUGCGCUAAUAGAUGAGCCUAAGGCGGAUUAGCUAGUUGGUGGGGUAAAGGCCUACCAAGGCGACGAUCUGUAGCGGGUCCGAGAGGAUGAUCCGCCACACUGGGACUGAGACACGGCCCAGACUCCUACGGGAGGCAGCAGUGGGGAAUAUUGGACAAUGGGGGAAACCCUGAUCCAGCCAUGCCGCGUGUGUGAAGAAGGCCUUAUGGUUGUAAAGCACUUUAAGCGAGGAGGAGGCUACUGAGACUAAUACUCUUGGAUAGUGGACGUUACUCGCAGAAUAAGCACCGGCUAACUCUGUGCCAGCCGCCGCCGUAA
rnacentral:rRNA from 1 species